AAAAAAAAAAUUUUAAAUUAAAAUUUAUAAGGUGAAAUUUGAAAUUUUAAUAAAAUUUGUUUUUUAUAAUGAAGUUAAGAAAUUUAAUUUAUAAACUAGGAUUAGAUACCCUAUUAUUUUGAAUGUAAUUUAAAAUACUAAAUUAGUAAUAGAUAUGUUCUUGAAAAUUAAAAAAUUUGGCGGUAUUUUAGUCUAUUCAGAGGAACUUGUUCUGUAAUUGAUAAUCCACGAUUUGAUUUACUUUUUUUAAUUAGUUUGUAUAUCGUCGUAAUUUGAAUAUUUUA
rnacentral:rRNA from 1 species